GUUGGAAUUCUGGAGUUCUCAAGAAAAAAAAGUGCUGAAACUUAUCGGAGCGUAAAAAAGAGAGCAAAAAUGAUAUACAGGACAUGGAGUUUGCUAACCGGUCCAGUCUUCAUUAUCGGCGGCGUCGUGGGAGCCACCGUUGCAGCCCACCUCCUCUUUGUUGACGAUCCGUAUCUUAAACCAAAGAAGAAGAAUGAUUCGCCGCCAGCGAGCAAGUAGACGGAAAUCGACUGUCGCUUGUUGGUAUUUGAUCUCUUGAACUUGCAAAUGCUUAGGAGUUACUUGUUGAAUAAUAUUGAAUCUGAUUGUCGUGCUCUUUUCUGUUUCUCAAUAACAAUUCGGCUACCCUGUCUUUAAAAACACUUGUGCAUUGAGUUUCAGAACAUCGCUUAAGGUUGCACCAGGCAAACAACUUUGCAAAUCGGCAUGAUAAAAGCAGGAUCUGCCUCUUGGUUCUGUAUCUUUCCCU